rnacentral:rRNA from 1 species
GCUUAGCCGUAAACUUUGAUGCUAACGUACAACUAGCAUCCGCCAGGGAACUACAAGCGCCAGCUUAAAACCCAAAGGACUUGGCGGUGCCUCAUACCCACCUAGAGGAGCCUGUUCUUGAAUUGAUACUCCCCGUUCAACCUCACCACCCCUUGUCCCAUCCCGCCUAUAUACCGCCGUCGUCAGCUUACCCUGUGAAGGUCUAAUAGUAAGCAAAAUGGGCAUAGCCCAAAACGUCAGGUCAAGGUGCAGCGUAUGGAGUGGGAAGAAAUGGGCUACAUUCCCUAAUAUAGGGUACUACGGAUAGCGCUGUGAAACCAGCCCCUGAAGGUGGAUUUAGCAGUAAGGAGAAAGUAGAGUGUUCUUCUGAACUCGGCUCUGAGGCGCGC